rnacentral:rRNA from 1 species
AGCAGCCGCGGUAAUUCCAGCUCCAAUAGCGUAUAUUAAAGUUGUUGCAGUUAAAAAGCUCGUAGUUGAAUUUCGGGAUCAAUAUUUCGGUCAUGCCGUUGGUAUGCACUGUUAUCAUUGAUUUCUCACCUUCUAAAGAACCGUAAUGCCAUUAAUUUGGUGUUACGGGGAAUUAGGACUGUUACCUUGAAAAAAUUAGAGCGUUUAAAGCAGGCUCACGCUUGAAUACAUUAGCAUGGAAUAAUGAAAUAGGACAUCCGAUUCUAUUUUGUUGGUUUCUAGGAUCGAUGUAAUGAUUAAUAGGGAUAGUUGGGGGCAUUAGUAUUCAAUUGUCAGAGGUGAAAUUCUUGGAUUUAUUGAAGACUAACUACUGCGAAAGCAUUUGCCAAGGAUGUUUUCAUUAAUCAAGAACGAAAGUUAGGGGAUCGAAGACGAUCAGAUACCGUCGUAGUCUUAACCAUAAACUAUGCCGACUAGGGAUCGGAUGAUGUUAAUUUUUUAAUGACUCA